rnacentral:rRNA from 1 species
GACGAACGCUGGCGGCGUGCUUAACACAUGCAAGUCGAACGGUAAGGCCCCAGCUUGCUGGGGUACACGAGUGGCGAACGGGUGAGUAACACGUGGGUGACCUGCCCCGCACUUCGGGAUAAGCCUGGGUAACUGGGGCUAAUACCGGAUACGACCGCACCGCGGGGGUGGGGUGGAAAGUGUUUCGGUGGGGGCUGGGCCCACGGCCAUUCAGCUUGCUGGCGGGGUAAUGACCGACCACGGCCGCGACGGGUAGCCCGCCUGAGGGGGUGGACGGCGACAUUGGGACUGCGACACGGCCCAGACUCCUACGGUGAGCAGCAGUGAGGACUAUUGCACGAUGGGCGGAAGCCUGAUGUAGCGACGCCGCGUGGGGGAUGACGGCCUUCGGGUUGUAAACUCCUUUCGCCAUCGACGAAGGUUUUCUGACAGUAGAUGGAGAAGAAGCCCCGGCUAACUACGUG